CCGUAAAAACAAUAAGAAAAAGUCGAUUAAAUUAAAGUUGCAUUUACGCCGUAACAAAACAGGAUACGUACAUGUACGGUAAUUUCGUUAUUAACGUUGCUGUCCGUACCACUUGCCGACUUAACCCUACUAUUUCCCCCUAUUACGGUGGUUCGUACCUCUUGUCGAAUUCUAAUGUAAUUAGCCGCUCCGACUUGGAGAAUUCCACUAACGUAGUGGUCCGUAUCUCUGUUAAUGAUUCCGCUAAAUCACCGAAAUAAUUGCCGAAAUUAUUACCGAUCAAUUACUGAACUAAUUCUUGAAUUAUUUAUGUAAUUAUUAUGCUGCUAACUCACCGUGCUCACUGUGUUGUAGGCAAAGUCGGAAUGGAACGCCAAGGCCGUCAGCCGCAACGACCGCGGGGUUCAGCCGAUGCCACCACUAACCACGGUAUACCACUAACCGCCGAAAAUGCGCCGAAUGUCUCUUCGAAGAUAAAUUGUACGACGAACGGGAGAAGGAAACCGUUGUUAACCGACUGGUUAAUAAAAUCCUUUCCUGCAGUUUGGAUGCGUACGCCACACUAGGUGAAGCGCAUUUCAAGUCGGUAUUCCAGGCGAAACCAUGGCAGCGUAUCAGGGUGAAUGACGCUGCCCGGAAAUUGAUAGCCGAUCGCGAACCACAGUGGUGCGAUAUGCCACUGCCUGUCGACUUGCCGCCGCAGCCUAAUUAUCCUGCGCCACUGCAGUUGCCGAUAAACUAUUCUGCGCAAAUGCAGAUGCCGAUGAACUAGGUCUAUGCGGUGAACCCGCAGGCACAGCCGCAAAUACCUUAUUAUCAAUACCAGCAGACGCAGUAUCAGCUGGCGAAAUAUGCGCAAUGCUCAGAUUCAGACAUUCGGGUAUCUUCCAACGCUUAUGUAGGUUUUUUGUGCAUUAUCCGCAGUAGAAAUGACUGGUAACGUGUGUCAUCACGAUCCGGAGCUUAUCUACGCUCUGAAUGGUCAAAACAACUAUACCGCACGUAUUCAAAAUACCGCGCUGCACAGCUCCAUUUUUUAAAUACCCGUUCUGAUCUCUGUGAAUCAUGACCCACGCGCGAUAAUGCGCCGCACUAGCCGUACACCUGCGUCCGUACGCGUAUUUACGCAAAAUGAAAGAGUCCGAAAUGGAUGAGGAACAACUCGAGUUCUAUCAUCGAUACCGUCACGAAUACCUAGAUGAAUAUCUAGAUGAUGCCGAUAAUAUUGAGCAGCCGUUUAUUCGUUUGCCGUCACCGCAAGGUGAAGAAUUCCACGAUACAGUGGAAAAUGAGCUGGCACAAUUUGUGCAACCAAUGUCCGAAAUACGUGGCGAUGCAAGGAAUGCAGUCGCCGUCGCCGCUGUAACCGAUUCCGUUUCUGACACGGCUGCAGCUGAUGCUGACACCGAUAUGUUGACUGAUGCGUGAGCGAUGUGCUGCCGGAAUUGUGCUGAUUUGGAGGACAAGUGAUUCUACGGAAUGGAACGCAUCAUGACGAAAUGCAUCUCAUAAAAUUCGCUAUUUUUUGUGAUUUUUCUAACCUAGUAUAUGCCGCCGCGCUUGUAUUUGGUCGCAUUUUGCUCAUCAGUUUCUGUGUUUUUUUGAGUCUGUAUGUCCUCGCGGGAGCUCAGAGUUCCUUCCCGUGGCAUGUCAGGAAAGCAGUGCCACCGCACAGGUUGGCGGUGGGUGUCGCUCUGCGAUCCCCGGGUAUUUUUCGAAUUUCGACCGUACAUUAAGAUGUACGGUCCCACUCUCAUUCGGUGGAUUUCUCAUCUCCAAGCCAGGAAUAUCCUGACUAGUCGACAGUGUUUUUCCUCGUGUUCCCUUUCUGGGCCUCUGAUCAUCCUGCGGAUGAUUUACAUUUGUCGGGCGAUA